rnacentral:rRNA from 1 species
AGUGAACGCUGGCGGCGUGCUUAACACAUGCAAGUCGAACGGAUGAAAUAAGCUUGCUUAUUUCGUUAGUGGCGCACGGGUGAGUAAUGUAUAGCUAACCUGCCCUUUAGUGGGGGACAACAGUUGGAAACGACUGCUAAUACCCCAUACUCCUUCUUAUCAUAAGGUAAGUCGGGAAAGAUUUAUUGCUAAAGGAUGGGGCUUUAUUGUAUCAGCUUGUUGGUGGGGUAAUGGCCUACCAAGGUGAUGACGCGUACCUGGUCUGAGAGGAUGAUCAGGCACAGUGGAGCUGAGACACGGUCCAGACGCCUACGGGAGGCAGCAGUGGGGAAUAUUGCACAAUGGGGGAAACCCUGAUGCAGCAACGACGCGUGGAGGAGGGCGCAUUUCGGUGUGUAAACUCCUUUUAUAAGGGAAGAUAAUGACGGUACCUUAUGAAUAAGCACCGGCUAACUCCGUGCCAGCCGCCGCCGUAACAC